rnacentral:rRNA from 1 species
GACGAACGCUGGCGGCGUGCUUAACACAUGCAAGUCGAACGCUGAAGCUCAGCUUUUGUUGGGUGGAUGAGUGGCGAACGGGUGAGUAACACGUGAGUAACCUGCCCCCUUCUUUGGGAUAACGCCCGGAAACGGGUGCUAAUACUGGAUAUUCACUGGUCUUCGCAUGGGGGUUGGUGGAAGGGGUUUUUCUGGUGGGGGAUGGGCUCGCGGCCUAUCAGCUUGGUGGUGGGGUGAUGGCCUACCAAGGCUUUGACGGGUAGCCGGCCUGAGAGGGUGACCGGGCACAUUGGGACUGAGAUACGGCCCAGACUACUACGGGAGGCAGAAGUGGGGAAUAUUGCACAAUGGGCGCAAGACUGAUGCAGCGACGCCGCGUGAGGGAUGGAGGCCUUCGGGUUGUGAACCUCUUUCGCUAAUGGUCAAGCCGCAACAAUGGUUGUGGUGAGGGUAGUGGGUAAAGAAGCGCCGGCUAACUACGUG